rnacentral:rRNA from 1 species
GACGAACGCUGGCGGCGUGCUUAACACAUGCAAGUCGAACGGAGUGGCGAGCGGGUUAGUAACACGUGGGUGACCUGCCCUGCACUUCGGGAUAAGCCUGGGAAACUGGGUCUAAUACCGGAUAGUGUGUGAUGGGCCCGCGGCCUAUCAGCUUGUUGGUUGGGUAAUGGCCUACCAAGGCGGCGACGGGUAGCCGGCCUGAGAGGGUGAACGGCCAAAUUGGGACUGGGACACGGCCCAGACUCCGACGGGAGGCAGCGGUGGGGAAUAUUGCACAAUGGGGGGAAGCCUGAUGCAGCGAAGCCGCGUGGGGGAUGACGGCCUUCGGGUUGUAAACUCCUGCAUCCAUCGACGCGGGAGAUGGAGAAGAAGCACCGGCUAACUACGUGCCAGCAGCCGCGGUAAUAC